rnacentral:misc_RNA from 1 species
GCACUGGACAUUAGAGCAUCGGUGAGACAGUGACAAGUUAACCGGCUAUCUCAGGAGUACUAUUUGCAAGUUUAUAGUGAUGUUUAUAUUAUCUUGAUGUGGGAUAGAGAGCAGAAACAAGGAUGGCGCAAUGAAAUUUGAGGACACGCCGUAUCUAUAGGGAUGUGAAGAGUUGAAGAAUUCUGAUACGAUGGCUAUCACUUUUCUACUCUUAUUGAUUUUCAUUGAAUUCAAAAAAGUCAACAAUCUUGAAAACAACGCACAACUGAUCCGUUUCCUACAACCCGAUGAUGUGGACAGCAUACAUUUCAACAUUGACGACAUGAAACGUCGCUCUAGUCUCUGCACCCGCAACUGCGAAACUAAUUCGAAGCCAAUGCUUUGCUACUAUCAAUUCACUCUGGAGCAGUAUACAGUUAUGGGCCCGGCGUGUUAUGACUGUCCCCUGAACAUUUCAAAUUGCUAUCAACCACAGUGCGUUACUGCCGAUGGCAUUGAAAAAAUGAUCCUAGUUGCUAACAGACGUAUGCCAGGACCAUCUAUUCAGGUGUGCCAAGGCGACACAGUUGUAGUGGAUGUUGUGAACAAAAUGGCUGGUCGCAGUACAGCAGUGCACUGGCAUGGUCUGAAGCAGCGAGGGACGCCAUUCAUGGAUGGCAUGCCGGGAGUCACGCAGUGUCCCAUCCUCUCCGACCAGACUUUCCGCUACAAAUUCAAAACUGCCAAUAGUGGCACAUUCUUCUGGCAUUCGCAUGAUGGCACACAAAAAAUGGAUGGACUGGUGGGUAAUCUGAUAGUGCGCGGAAGAAUGGAUGCGAAUCGUGAGCAAUAUGACUUGGACCUGGCAUCGCAUGUGGUGCUUGUCACCGACUGGAUGCACGAGACCAGUGACGAUCAUCAGCCGGGUCUGCUCCGAAGCAAUAUUGGCCAGGAGCCCGAUGCAUACCUGGUCAACGGACGCGGAGUUUAUCUGCCAGACCUGGCCAGUAUGCUGAAGAUGUCAUCAGCGGCGAGCGGAGUGAGCCUGCAGUUGAGCAUGCCGCUUGCAAGGUUCGUCGUGAAGAGAGGUCUGCGCUACAGAUUUCGAGUGAUCGGCGGCUCCUGUCUCUCCUGUCCGUUUCGAAUCUAUUUCCAAAGCCAUCAGCUGACUCUCAUCAACAUGGAUAUGAACUCAGUAAGGCCUGUUACUGUCGAUGCUGCUGACAUCUCUUCUGGAGAGAGAUUCGAUUUCGUAAUUAAUGCGAACCAAGCAGUGUCGAGCUAUUGGAUCUAUAUCACUGGUCUCGGAGCAUGCAAGAAUAGCCGAGGCGUAGCUGUGCUCCAAUACGAGGGAGCUCUCUUAUCUAAACCAUUGACACCUAUGCCAGGAAUAACCAGUAUUCCUAAUGGGGCUGUUUUCAAUCGACGGAACUCAGUGUGCAGACCAAACACGAAGCUAGAUGUUUGUGUGACGCAGCUCAGAAGUCAGAGGCGCAAUCCUGAAAAGCUUGUGCAACCUCCUGACGCCAGAAUUCUGGUCAAUUUUAUAUUCUACCAGUUCAACAGAAAAACUUUGUUCGAAGAAGGAGAUUAUAAAAGAUAUUUUGCGCCCUACAACCCAUUCACAAAUCAAAUAGUUCUGCUAACGUCGGUGGUGAAGAAUGUGUCGAAUAGCAUGCCUUCCACGCCACUGCUCAACCAGAUCGACGACAUCAGCGACUCCAAGUUCUGCAGCGACGAAUGCCUCACUCGGGUCAACACCACGCCCUGCGACUGUCUGCUACUGGUCAAGGUGCCACUAGGAGCUGUUGUUGAAAUACUCUUCGUCGAUGAUUCAGAAAUCUCUGAAAUAGCCAUCAGUCAUCCAUUCCACAUGCAUGGCUAUGAGUUCUACAUAAUGGAGACAGGAGUCUUCACUGCCGGCAACAGACAGACGCAAGUCGCCUCCCUGAUGGAGCGACUUGAGAGUCAGUCUUAUUCAAGGAGCGAUUAUCCUAGCAAGGACACCAUUGAUGUCCCAGCAUAUGGAUACGCUGUUACCAGAAUAGUUGCUGAUAAUCCAGGUUUUUGGUUCGUACACUGCCAUUUCAUUUACCACCUGAUAACAGGCAUGUCUCUGGUGAUCCAAGUGGGAGAGACGUCAGACAUGCCGGUCGUUCCUCGGGGUUUCCCCACCUGCGAUGACUUCCUCUCACCAGACGCAAGUCUUCUAUGACUCAUCAAUAUUGCUCCUCUGAGCAAGCGAACAUGAUUGACGAAUUUCAAAAGAACUGGUUCUAUUCAUCAACCAGAAUACCUCGAGCUGGAUAAAUAAUGCUGGCUUAGUGUAUAUUUUUGAUUAGAUACAAUUCAUUUCUAUCGUUUCACAAUAGUGUGCAACGGAUUAAAUGAGCUGUUUCAUGUCAAUAUUCGAUUCAUUCCUCAAUUCAAGUUGCUCUCGCUGUAUGCU